GCAGGGGUAGUCAAGCCUGGCCAACGACGCAGGACUUAGGAUCCUGUCCUUAGUGGUCCGAGAGUUCAAAUCUCUCCCCCUGCACCA
rnacentral:tRNA from 1 species